rnacentral:tRNA from 1 species
AUGGGGUUAAGUUAUGUAGACUGAGUGUUUUCAAAACAUUUAGAAGCUUUUGUGUUACUCCAUG